rnacentral:rRNA from 1 species
AGAAUUUGAUCUUGGUUCAGACUGAACGCUGACGGCGUGGAUGAGACAUGCAAGUCGAACGAAGAGAGGAGCAAUCCUUUUUUAGUGGCGGAAGGGUUAGUAAUACAUGGGUAACUUGCCCCUUACCAGUAGAUAACGGUUGGAAACGGCCGCUAAUAUGGUAUGAGGUGGGAAGCGGCAUCGCUUUUUUACCAAAGUUGGGGAGCCGGAAACGGUCCUUGCGGUAAGGGAGAGGCCCAUGCGGUAUCAGCUAGUUGGUGCGGUAAGAGCGCACCAAGGCUAAGACGCCUAGGCGGAUUGAGAGAUUGACCGCCAACAUUGGGACUGAGACACUGCCCAGACUCCUACGGGAGGCUGCAGUCGAGAAUAAUUCGCAAUGGACGAAAGUCUGACGAUGCGACGCCGUGUGAACGAUGAAGGCCUUCGGGUUGUAAAGUUCUGUCAACUGUGAACAAGAGUAUAUGGUUAAUAGCUAUGUAUUUUGAGUGUAGCAGAGGAGGAAGCACCGGCUAACUCCGUGCCAGCAGCUGCGGUAAUACGGAGGGUGCAAGCGUUAGUCGGAAUUAUUGGGCGUAAAGGGUGCGUAGGCGGGAAUAUAAGUCAAAUGUGAAAUUCCGGAGCUCAACUCCAGGGCUGCAUUUGAAACUAUAUUUCUUGAGAGAGAGCGGAGAAAACGGAAUUCCAUGUGUAGCGGUGAAAUGCGUAGAUAUAUGGAAGAACACCUGUGGCGAAAGCGGUUUUCUAGCUUGAUCUGACGCUGAGGCACGAAAGCAAGGGGAGCAAACAGGAUUAGAUACCCUGGUAAUCCUUGCCUUAAACUAUGUAUACUUGAUGUAAUUGGGCUCAACCCUGAUUGUGUCGUAGUUAACACGAUAAGUAUACCGCCUGGGGAGUACGCUCGCAAGGGUGAAACUCAAAAGAAUUGACGGGGACCCGCACAAGCAGUGGAGCAUGUGGUUUAAUUCGAUCCACGCGAAGAACCUUACCUGGGUUUGAACUGCAAGAGACGUUGUCAGAGAUGACAAUUCCCCGCAAGGGGCUGUUGUAGAGGUGCUGCAUGGCUGUCGUCAGCUCGUGCCGUGAGGUGUUGGGUUAAGUCCCGCAACGAGCGCAACCCUUGUCAUUAGUUGCCAGCAUUUAAGGUGGGCACUCUAAUGAGACUGCCUGGGUUAACCAGGAGGAAGGUGAGGAUGACGUCAAGUCCGCAUGGCCUUUAUGUCCAGGGCUACACACGUGCUACAAUGGUCGGUACAGAGGGCAGCAAGACUGCGAAGUGGAGCAAAUCCCUAAAGCCGGCCCCAGUUCAGAUUGGAGUCUGCAACUCGACUCCAUGAAGAUGGAAUUGCUAGUAAUGGCGAGUCAGCAACAUUGCCGUGAAUACGUUCCCGGGUCUUGUACACACCGCCCGUCAAGUCAUGGGAGUUGGUUUUACCCGAAGAUAGUGACCCAACUGCAAGGGGGGAGCUAGUUAAGGUGAGGCUGAUGACUGGGACUAAGUCGUAACAAGGUA